UACAGAGGGUGCGAGCGUUGUCCGGAAUCACUGGGCGUAAAGGGCGCGUAGGCGGCUUGAUAAGGUUGCGGUGAAAGCCCGGGGCUCAACCCCGGGUCGGCCGUGGCAACUGUCGAGCUGGAGCACUGUAGAGGCAGGUGGAAUUCCGGGUGUAGCGGUGGAAUGCGUAGAUAUCAGGAGGAACACCGGUGGCGAAGGCGGCUACCUGGACAGAAACUGACGCUGAGGCGCGAAAGCUAGGGGAGCAAACAGG
rnacentral:rRNA from 1 species